rnacentral:rRNA from 1 species
AAGGAUCAUUACCGAGUGCGGGCCCUCUGGGUCCAACCUCCCAUCCGUGUCUAUCUGUACCCUGUUGCUUCGGCGUGGCCACGGCCCGCCGGAGACUAACAUUUGAACGCUGUCUGAAGUUUGCAGUCUGAGUUUUUAGUUAAACAAUCGUUAAAACUUUCAACAACGGAUCUCUUGGUUCCGGCAUCGAUGAAGAACGCAGCGAAAUGCGAUAAUUAAUGUGAAUUGCAGAAUUCAGUGAAUCAUCGAGUCUUUGAACGCACAUUGCGCCCCCUGGUAUUCCGGGGGGCAUGCCUGUCCGAGCGUCAUUGCUGCCCUCAAGCACGGCUUGUGUGUUGGGCUUCCGUCCCUGGCAACGGGGACGGGCCCAAAAGGCAGUGGCGGCACCAUGUCUGGUCCUCGAGCGUAUGGGGCUUUGUCACCCGCUCCCGUAGGUCCAGCUGGCAGCUAGCCGUCGCAACCAAUCUUUUUAACCAGGUGACCUCGGAUCAGGUAGGGAUACCCGCUGAACUUAA